rnacentral:rRNA from 1 species
AACGAACGCUGGCGGCAUGCCUAACACAUGCAAGUCGAACGAGACCUUCGGGUCUAGUGGCGCACGGGUGCGUAACGCGUGGGAAUCUGCCCCUUGGUUCGGAAUAACAGCGAGAAAUUGCUGCUAAUACCGGAUAAUGACGUAAGUCCAAAGAUUUAUCGCCAAGGGAUGAGCCCGCGUAGGAUUAGCUAGUUGGUGUGGUAAAGGCGCACCAAGGCGACGAUCCUUAGCUGGUCUGAGAGGAUGAUCAGCCACACUGGGACUGAGACACGGCCCAGACUCCUACGGGAGGCAGCAGUGGGGAAUAUUGGACAAUGGGCGAAAGCCUGAUCCAGCAAUGCCGCGUGAGUGAUGAAGGCCUUAGGGUUGUAAAGCUCUUUUACCCGGGAUGAUAAUGACAGUACCGGGAGAAUAAGCUCCGGCUAACUUCCGUGCCAGCAGCCGCGGUAAAGUGACUACUG